CAAGGAGAUUCUGGACCAUGCAAAUGCCAGGAGAAGAGCCAAAAGGCAGACGUCUCCCCACCACCGUGGAGCCCUGCGCGGCACCCAAAUGCCUUUCGUUCUUGGCGCCUCCACUGGGAGCGCAGAUAACAACCACCAAAGCGAAAGUACAGGAGUGAAGAAUAUAAAUUAACGUGGCUUCAAUUUUUUUUUCAAGCCUAGAGGAAUUUUUAUAUUCUUUCAAAUAGAUGCUGGUCCUCCAAGAAAAGUCCCAUGGACAGUAUGAUUUAUUCCCAUGUUGCCAUUACAGCUCAGAACAAUCUUUGUCUCCUCUUUAGAAUUGUCCCGGGAUCCACAGCACAGACUUGUGAACGUGGUCAGUGUUGCCAAAUCUUUGCCUUUUCAAGAUGGAUGAUGAUUUUCCAAAAGAUGUUUGAAAAAACUGUCUGCCCUUAAACUGGGCAAUUACCUUGGGGAAUAUUUUCGGGUAAAAGUGAAAUGUGAAUGGAAAUACCAGAGACAGAAACGACCUACCCGCGAAGAUGCUGCAAACCAGGCGACACCAAGAGCUCCUGGGAGCUGUGGCUUUGGGAUAAUUGCACAGACUAUUUUGGGGGCCCACACUCAUGAUUAUGUAUUAAUUUGCAUAUGUUUGCAGGAAAAAAUUAAAUCUUUAAAUACCACCAGAGAAUUUAUCCCCAUGUAGGUUCCAACCAGAAAAUAGAGAAAAUGAAGCACUGCCCCUGCCUGCCUGCCUUCAAGGAGCUCACCAGGCCCAUCUCUCCGUCAUCCCAUCGUGCACGGGUUUGUUUUCUGGUCCAUGAAUCUCGAUACUGGUAUCCAGAAGAGGCAGAGGUAACGGCCCAUGCCCAGCGCGUCAGCAUUUUUAUAACGAGUCGGGAAGGGACCCGAGGGCAAAAGGUCAACUUUUGGACAGGAGGAAGAUGAAUAUUUUCUCCCUUGUCCCUCUGCUGCCUGAAUCACCUGAAGCAGACAGACCUGGACUUUGUUACAGCACAGGCCUGCUUCAGUCCCUGCCGUGCUCAGUUGUCGGCUCGGCUCGAGGAAGCUGUGGGAAGAGUGGUCUCAGCAUGAACAUGAUGACAGAUUGCAGAGCACAGCAGCUGGGCCAUGCG
rnacentral:lncRNA from 1 species